UCGUGCCUUAGCCAGGGUUAUGGGUAGAGCCUUGGGGAGAGAGGAUCAUCAUGAUUUAGAUGAUGUUCUCCAACGGCGAAGGCCUACGACAUCUGCACGUAGGCAACGGGAAGCUGCCCCUAUUGCUGAGGAUGAUCCUAUGCUUACUGAAGACGUACAUGCACAUGCUGAAGAAGUUGUUGAUGAUGUUGAGGGAUUUCCAAGUGGGCUGUGUGACCCAUCAGUGCUGACUGACUAUGGUGACCAUGUUGUAGUCAUCGUAUGGAAUGAAGAGAAUGUCCUGAAUUGAAGUUUUCCUCCCAUGGAAGGAAGGUUCAGAAAUUUGGGAGGCCUGUUCCAAAAAUUGAAGGGCUAGUCGCUGCCCUUGAAGCACGGAUGCGGCACCUCAGCGGCGUGUCCCGCGUCGGAAGCGCACUGGACACGCAUUCGGGUCCGACUUCGGUGCGACGCGGUGUCCGUUGCUUCCGCCGUCACCGGACACGGUUGGACGCCGGACGCGCGCGAUUGGACGCGACCCACCAAGUGGACAUGCAUGAUUGGACGCGGCCCAACAAGCCUCAACCAUUGUUUUUAUUUAUUUAAAAAAUGCUUACCAAAUACAAAAGCGGUUCUUCUUCGUCUUCUCCUUGCCGUUUCCCGCAAGCGAACCAAACGCCUCCACCAGUGCACGUUGUCGCCUCCGUUUCCCCGGCAGGUAGGCCUUUCACCCUUGUUUCUUUUCUCAUCUCCUCCCUAUUUCUUUUUUGGUUUUUGUGGGUGCCGUUUCUGGUUUCUUAAUAAUGGAUCUUUGUUUUUCUCGCUGCCUAUGUUGAAAAAGCAUUAUUCUCUUCAUCUCUUGUCGCUGUCGUGUUAUUGUUUUUCUAUUUUUCCCGUUGCCGUGUUAUUGGCUUAUUGCCGUAACUAUGAAUAGAGCAGUAUAGGACCUAUACUAUAGCCUACAGGUAUGGCAGACCUUAUUUUUUGGUGAAGACACUAACUAUGUCACGUGAAUACUGGCUGUAUGGCAACAUUGACAGGCCUUGAUUUCUAGUUGAGUAAAUUUCUUCUUUUUAUGAACAUGCUUGUCUCUUUCUAUUUCCCUCCCAUUUCACUAUAGGCUUUAAUAGCUCCACCAAUUAUAGAAUUAGUAAAUAAUUUUCUACAACUAACAUUUUAUAUUUGUAAGCUUUGAAGGACUAUGCAUCCCUCCAAAGUUGAUUGUGUUUGAAUAUAAUUUAAUAACUUGACAUAUUAUUUUAGCACUGUUGCUCUUUUAAAUUUUAAUAACUUGACAUGCUACUUUUUCCCAAUGUUGCAGCAAUUAUUAUAGUCAAACACUUCCAAUACACACCUUGACACUCAAUACAAUGUCCACAACUUCUAAAAAAAAAAGAAUCCUAUAUUGGAGGUUCUUGAAUCGUUUACAAGUUUUAUUUUGAUGUUUUACUAUUAAUCCCAUAUGCUUGGAUAAGAUAUUUUAUCAAAUUAUACAGAGAUGUCACAACCUAGUUCAACUUCUCUCAUUGUUUAACUGAUUUUGUCACUUCCUUGGUGUAAUUAUGAUACCACUAGCUUUUUGUGAGUAUAAAAAGAAAUUUGGUGGCAUUUGGUUGUUUGUUUAGAAAUUGUUUACAUUGAUUUUUAAUUUUUUUUAAAUUGAUUAGAAAUUGUUUUUUGUUGUUUGUUUUUUAUUUAGAAAUUGUUUACAUUGAUUUUUAAUUUUUUUUAAAUUGUUGUAGAGAUGAGUGCUUCUAGUCCUAGUUAACAAGAUGAUGAUACCAAACCUUUAUGGACCUAUGUUACAAAAAUAAAAAGUGUAGGUGGUGGUGGAAAUUAUGAGAUAAAAUCCAAUAUUUGUGAUUUUACCUUUAAUGGGUCUUACACUAGAGUAAGGGCACACUUGUUGAAGAUGAUUGGAAAGGGAGUUAGAGUUUGUCAAAAGGUAAUAAUCGUCAAACUUAUAGAUUUGAAGAAGAUAGACAAUGAGGUUACAUUGAGGGAGGAAAAGUAAAAAACAAAAUCUUUGUCAUUUUUGGUUUCUACUCAACACCACAUGGAUACAAACACUCUUGGUGUUGAUCCAAAAAAGAGAAAGACAUCAACUGUAGAAAAUGCCUUUAAUUUGCAAGCUAGAGAGACACUUGAUCAUGAAAUUGCUAGGAUGUUUUACUCUUCGGGGCUGCCUUUUCAUUUAGCAAGAAAUCCUCAUUAUAGGAAGACAUUUGUCUAUGCUGCCAAUAAUAAGAUCAAUGGUUACCAACCUCGAGGUUAUAAUAAAUUAAGGACAACAUUAUUUCAAAAUGAGAGGAGACAUGUGGAGAACUUGUUACAACCAAUUAAAAAUGCAUGGAGCCAAAAAGGUGUGAGCAUUGUUAGUGAUGGAUGGAGUGACCCGCAAAGAAGAUCUCUUAUUAAUUUCAUGGUUGUCACAGAGAGCAGACCUAUGUUUUUAAAGGCCAUCGAUUGUUCAAAUGAGAUCAAAGACAAGAAUUUCAUUGCCAAACAUAUGAGGGAGGUAAUUAUGGAGGUUGGGCAUUCGAAUGUUGUGCAAAUAGUGACAGAUAAUGUAGCCGUUUGUAAAGCAACAAGUUUAAUAAUUAAGGCUGAGUUUCCUUCCAUCUAUUGGACUCCAUGUGUUGUUCAUACAUUAAAUUUUGCUUUGAAGAACAUAUGUGCAGUCAAGAAUAUAAAAAAAAAACAAUGUUGUUUAUGAAGAAUGUUCUUGGAUCACCCAAAUUGUGGAUGAUGCAAUGUUUGUGAAAAACUUUGUCAUGAGUCACUCUAUGAGACUAUCAAUUUUCAAUUCAUUGAAAUUGCUAUCCAUUGUUUCAACAAGAUUUGCCUCUACUAUUGUAAUGCUCAAGAGAUUCAAGCAAUUGAAGAAAUGACUCCAAGAGAUGGUCAUUAGUGACCAAUGGUCUUUUUAUAAGGAAGAUGAUGUUGCAAAGGCUAAAUUUGUGAAAGAUACUUUGUUGGAUGAUAAAUGGUGGGAUAAGGUUGAUUAUAUUCUUUCUUUCACUAGCCCUAUCUAUGAUGUUCUUACAAGAACUGAUACGGAAGCUUCAUCUCUCCAUCUAGUAUAUGAGAUGUGAGAUUCAAUGAUUGAAAAUAUGAAGAAUGCCAUAUAUCAAUAUGAGAGAAUGGAGGAGAGUGAAGGAUCAAACUUUUAUGAGGUAGUGCACUCCAUAUUAAUUGACCGUUGGACUAAGAGUAGCACUCCUCUUCAUUGUUUAGCUCAUUCCUUAAAUCCUAGGUAAUUAACUCUAUACUUUUUUACUUACAUUUUUUUUAGAAUUACAUAAAUUUUAAUCAUGUAUAUAUUUCUUUUUAAUUGUAGAUAUUAUAGUCAUGAAUGACUAAGUGAAUAUUCUAAUCGAAUUCCUCCACAUCAAGACAUGGAACUCACUCGUGAAAGAUCAAAAUGCUUCAAGAGGUUCUUUCUUGAUGUGGAUGUAAGAAGGAAAGUGAAUAUUGAGUUUGCCAACUUCUCGGAUGGAAGAAAAGGUUUUGAUGAUCUUGAUUCUUUAAAUGAUAGAGGUCAAAUGGAUCCAAAAGCUUGGUGGCUAGAUCAUGACGUUAAUGCUCCAAUACUUCAAAAGGUUGUCCUUAAGUUACUUGCACAACCUUGUUCAUCUUCAUGUUGUGAAAGGAAUUGGAGUACAUAUUCAUUUAUCCAUUCUUUAAAGAGAAACAAGAUGACACCACAUAGAGCUGAAGAUUUAGUAUUUGUUCAUAGCAACCUACGACUUCUCUCAAGGAAUACUCCACAAUAUCAUCAAGAGGAAACUUGUGGGAUGUAGCUGGAAAUGAUUUUGAAUCACUUGAUGAUUGUGGUAUUCUUGAAAUUGCUAGUUUGUCUUUAGACGAACCAGAGUUAGAUGAUGUCUUUUUCAAUGAUGAUUGAUAGGUUGCUGCCACAAGAUUAAGUCCUUUGAUCGCAUGUUCAGUGGACACUAGCAAUCUGGGACUUAUAUCCGCUUUUGUGGAGAGGUGACAUAAGGAAACUAGCAGUUUCCAUCUUCCUAUUGGAGAGCUGACCAUCACCCUGGAUGAUGUGGCGUCUUUGCUUCAUCUUCUAAUUAUAAGCGCAUUCCACAUCUUCGAGUCUCUGCAUGUCAACGAAGCUGUGUUGAUGUUGGUGGAGUUACUUGAAGUCUCCAGAGAAUAAGCUAAAGCUGAGAUAGCACAAUGUCAUAGGGCAUACGUACGCCUAUUGUGGCUACGAGAUAUUUAUCAUAGUAGAUGUGAGGUUGGACAUUGGACUGUUGCAGCUCGUGCCUAUUUGCUGCAUUUGUUAGAUUGCACUCUUUUUGCUAACAAGAGUGCAACACAUGUUCAUGUUUUUUUAGACGUUUUUCGAGACUUGAUUCAAAGUGGAAGCUAUGCAUGGGGAGUUGCCGCCCUAAUGCAUAUGUAUUAUCAUUUGAAUGAUGCUUGUAAGAUCGGUGGUCGACAACUUGCUGGUUACAUAACCCUAUUACAGUGUUGGAUAUAUGAGCAUUUCCCUGCUGAGUGUUUGACUAAUCUAGACUAUGAUGAGAUCUCUCCACGUGCCUGCCGGUGGAUUACUACGAAGGCUUCUUUGAAGUCAUUACCAACAUCGAUGUCAUCUACGAUGGGGUCCCGUUGUUGUCAGACACCGACCAGAGAGGGUGGUGCGGAAAUUUGGAUACGUUCAGACCAUUCCUCCAUAGACUACGAGUUCCAUGUUAUCAUUUGAAGAUGUUGACGACAAGUGGAUGCAUUACUUUGAUUAUCUUGCAACAACGGACCAAAUUUGUGUUGUGCCAGGACAAUGUGCAUCAGAUUACAUACAGUGGUUCUUCAUGAUUUCACAUCCGUUCAUGACACUUACAUAGCUUGCUGAUCCGACCAAACAUCCACCUGUGAUGUAGGAUGACACAUAUGUGGAGCCACAUAUCCUUGAGGUUCAAGUGGCACCAGCAGCAGCACCGACACAUGCCUCUUCUGAUGUGGAGCAGCCUUGACAUGCAGUGAAGGCUCCCAAGUGUCGCAACCUACCCUUUUGCGUGCGAGCGAGGCGAGGCUCAC